GAGGCCAAUCUCUUCGUCUCUCUUGUCCUCCCUCUCUCUCCAAUACUUCUGUCUAAGCUCUUCCUUUAUCGGCAAACCAGUUUGGGGAAAUCUUUUGGGGGUAUCGUUCAGAUCUAGAUCCCUCACCUGCAAAAGAGUCAAUUGGGUCGCAUAUCGUAAACGACGUCGGCGAGUCCGAUUCUGGGGAGUUCUAGCUGGCUGGAGAUCGGAGCUAAGAUGGGUUUCAGUUUAGGAUUCUUGGUCGGCAUCUUUGGAGUUCUAAUUCUCUCUCAUGCCACUUAAUCCACUGUUCAGUGGUUUGUGAUUAUACUGUUUCUAUGCCGCCGAAACCCAUCCCAUCUUGAACUGAAAAUUCCAGAAACUGAAAAUUUCCUGAGCUCUGGGAACCUAGAUAUGGACACUUCCUGGGUUUUCAAAUUCAUUUCAUCAUCAUCUGAUUAUUGUCUUUGAAUUUUCUUUCUGGGUUUUUUGGUGGUUUGUUUUUGUUGCUGCUAAUUUGGGUUUUGGUGAAUUUGUGAAAAGCAAGCGGUGUGUGUAGAAAAUGGAAACAGGGGGUGAAGCAAAGUCUGGGACGAAUAGAGAGAUUGAACUUUGCUGGUUGGAAGAUGGAUGAUGACUCCACCGCUCGUCUGCUUUGCUAUGCUUACAGCCUCAGAGACUUGGAUAUAAUUUUUGGGUGUGACAACUCUAGCUGGAGAACAAGAGGAUGAUGGACAGUAAUCUAUAAGAGAAAUAUAGGACAAGCUUUCUGAGGGCAAGAGAAGAAACUGGUUCGUGGUUAAGAAAAGUGCUAAGUAAGGGCAGAUGGUAUAUGAAAUUAUUGUGAUCAAACACAAGAAGGUAAUUCAAAUAAGCCCCUUUCAGCCGGUGUAGUACAUGCUUAUCUUGCAUAGUGGAUGAGAGAAAUGAAGAUAAAGUGGUGUAGGAAAUAGAUGUAAAGUAGCGUUGUAAAAGUUUCUUUUUUGCUUCUAUGGAUUUUUCUUUGCUCUUGUAAGCCUAUUUUAUAUGAUGUACAAUAAUUAUAUAAAUGAAGUUUAUUUACCAACA